ensembl:lncRNA
CCUGGACUUGAGCUGAGGGACCGUAUUUCCCAUGAAUAACGCCUGGGAGGGAAGCAGUGUGGGAAGCAGAGGGAAGCACAGUGAGCUGUACCUGUGCAUGUGAGGGCAGGCAGUGAUGGCUUGGUGCAGGGCUGGUGCUCUUUCCCAACAGUUGGGCUGCUGUGAGAGCACUGCAUUAUUUCAGCUUCAGCAUCUCCUUGGGAUGGCAGUGAUCUCAAGUGGUGUGCGUGUUUCUCAAGGUGCAAGGGAGGUUUGCAAAGAGGAAGAGGAGGUCUGCCCGUUCAUUUGGGAAGAGGACCAGCCAGAUCUGGGACUAGCAUGGGACAAGGUUUUUUUCCCAGCCACAGGGCUAGAAGCAUUGGGGUUACUUGAGUUCUGAAAGAAAAGCUGCAUUUGUCAUGUACAGAAUUUGGGACUGGAGGGAAAAACAUUCCUUGAAAUCUGACUGAAGAUCUGGCACAUUUUUUUUCCUGGUGACAGCGCUGCUGACCUCCUGGAUGUGAGUGCUCAUAGUUCCUGGCAUCCCUUCCUGGCUGCUCGGGGAUGGCUGCAUUGCAGCUAAAGCAGCAUCAAAUUUAGCUGGUGAAGUAUCUGAUGCCUGGAAGAGAUGGGAUUUACUUGAGAACUCCAUGAGGGCUUCCUGUGCUUCUGGGAGCUGUGCUGCUCUAAGGAGGCACGGAGCUCACUGUGGGUUUGCUCUGUCCCAACCCCUACCCAUGCUGGUGCUGAGUGCGUGGUGCUGGCUGAGAUGUUUCAGCUGUUGCUUCCUGAGGGCUGAGAUGUGGGAAUGCGGGUUUUGAUGGUAUUAGAAACUGCCCUGCACCAGAUUCCUCACAUAGCAGAGAGAUCCCAAGGAACUCCAGCCUGCAGUGUAAGCUGUGAAGUGGGAAAUGCUGUGUUCAGAGUUCCUCAAAACCUGCCCUGCGUGUACAGAAACAAAGCAGCUGAGGAUUGUGUUGUGGUCAGGGAUAUGAGCACAUCUGAUGUGAAAAAGGGCAGGAAGUGUCCCUGCUCAGAAGUUCCUUGGAAACCAUGGAAAAGGAAAUCCUGGAUGCUCCUGGUUGACUCAAAGGAACUGCUUUCUAUAAAAGAGGUGGAAUUACAGAAUAGCCCAGGUUGGAAGGAGCCUGCGAAGGUCAUCGAGUCCAUCUUUUAAUUUAUAGGUUUGGUGAAAUAGAGCAGUUCUGAAAUGGAGAAAUGAUGGGGGAAAGUCCAUUUUUACAAACAAACUGCCAGUGAAGAAAAAUCAGAAAUGUCAGGAGGAAAAAAAAUCCACCAGAAUUGAGGCAUUUCUAUAGGAAACUUCCAUUUCACCAAACACCUCCUGGGGAGAGAGGUGUGGUGGGGAACUCCUGGGCGGGGGCGUGCAAAGCAGGCAGGAGGACUUGGGGAAAGAGAUGCCUUCACUGCUGUGUAACUGAACUGUAAAUCACUGUCCUAAGUUUUGCAUCCUAAAAACCUUCCGUGCCUUUCUUUUGGAGACAGUUGCAUCGCAGGGACUGGAAACUGCCAGAGCCUGGCAGCGAGCAGGCGGAGAGGUGCAGAUGGAUUUUCAACCAUGAUUCAGAUGUCACCUUGUCAAAAUCCCUUUGGACAUUUUGCUUCACUGCCCAGACCCUGUGCUCAUGGGAAGGCAUGCGUCUCAAGCUGCUCUGAGCUGGGUCUGGCAUGAGAGGCAAUGCACGCUGUGCCUGGCACCAGCCAAGCCUGUCUGAUUAUUCAGAGGAGAAAUGGAGAGCAGUGCUGAGUGGUAGUUAUUAAAGCAGGCACCUGUGGAUCCCGCACAGUGUGCCUGAGCUCUGCAAGCCCACACAGGUUUGCACAGUGCCUUGUACCAGCAGGCAAUAUUGGUGUCGUAUCUCGGGUUUGGACAACAUAAUUAUCAGCACACCACACCGCAUGCCUUGGUGUAAUGUGCUGCCAGGGCUGCAUUAGAAAAAGGAAAAGGGGGGGAAUUAAAAAAAGAAGGAGGAAAAAAAAGCCAUGUUUCCAGUGUACAGACAGUAAUAGAGAUGUUUGUAUGGCGGUUGUGACUGGUGUAAUCUUGGUUGUUACACAGAUCUAAGUGGGAUUUGAAACAGUCAAAGAUGCCAAAACAAACGUCAACGAGAUGGAUGGUCUAUUAGGCGCAGCUCAUUUGAGUCACUCGUUGCAGGGAGGAUUCUACCUGUUUUGUGACGAACCAGCAGUGCUGCAGGAGAAGAGAUGGGUACACUCAGCCUUUGGUCCCAGCCUGGGCUGCUGCCAUCCCCCAGUGAGAGGACAUGUGACUGUGGGGACAGCAGUCCCAGCAAAGCAGAUUGACAGUGUCAAGACAUGGAUAUCUUCCAUGCAAAUGCCACGUGCCUGCUUGUCCCUUCUGGAAACAGAAGGCACUUUCUUGUCUCCAGCUAUGGCCUUUCUUUGUGUGACAUUGGACAGUGGAAGCCCUCAUUGCGUGAACUAAUGACUUGCAGAGUGUGUGCUCUCUCAAGGCUAUCUGGUGUUUGUCUGUGAAGGGGAGACAAGCAAAGCUAGUUUCAGGGCCAGCUGGUUUAUAUGCUUUUGCUAAGUCAGUUUGCUGCUGGUGGAACUCUAAUUGACUCAGCUGUGCUCUGGGAAGCUCCGCUGCGAUGGGCAGCAGCCUCUGUACAUCCACCUCUUGCUUGUGCUCCCAUUGCUCUGCUGGAGGGGUUUUCUAUCACGCUCUUUCUACUGGUUUUACUUCUUACCCUGUAAUUACUUAAGUCCAAAAGAGAAAGGAACCAGAACAAGAAACUUGAAUGGAGAGAUAGAUGAAGAACUCCUUUUGUACCAAAGAUCGUUGGGAAUUAAUUUGAUGUCCUCGCCUUGGUGCAGUCCAGACUUCAUUAAAGCAUUUGCGCAACUCCUGGCAGCUGAGCGUGUGGUGGAAUAAUUUCGGUCUCCCGACAGAUUCAAUUGGUAUCUGCCUUCGGGUUUGGCUGGUCUCAUUUAGGAAGUGUUUGUGUUGCUUGCCGCUGCACAGAAGGGACUCUUUGUACUCCUUUGCAUAACAAAGCGGCGCGCUCCUUAGCAGGGCAUGCAGCGGCAAGGCGGAGGCAGCGGGUCCCUGCUGAGGGUUUGCUGAAUAGAUGGAGGAGUGGGAAAGCAGUGGGACAGUGCUCAUGGCUGUGAAAACAGGAUCUGAGCUUGGCCCCUGGGUCACUCUAAUGGAAAAAAAACAAAAAAACAAAACCAAAUCUUGGAACUGGAGCUAAGAGGAUGGAGUUCGCAUGGGUUAUGUUGGGCUGAGCGCACAGUGCUCCCCAAGGGCCUUCAUCUACCUUGCGUGCACAACUGUGUUGCACACAGACCCUCCCCUGCUGGUUUUGUAUCUGGAGCAGCCCAGUAUGUUACUGUGAUCCAACUGGGACAGGCUGACCCAGGAAAACGUGUUCUGCUCUGCCAUGUGCUGCCGAUGCCGGCGCUCCCCAGGGAGCAGCCGGCUGUGAGCUCUGCCAAUGUGUGACUGAAUGUGGUUCUCAUUAGGAAUGGUGGGAGCCUGCUGAGCUGCAUGAGAGUGGCCAAUCAUAAUAAACGCUUCGAGGAAUUUAGCUCCUUGGUGUCUCUUCAGUGCAUACCGUGGGUCUGCUGGGAUAAUGUGCGUACCGUGGGUCUGCUGGAAAUCAGCAUGUGGUGGUUUUGGGGGGGGAUGGCUACCUGCUAAAACGGCACUGCAGGUGGAGUAGUUCUGCUAAUGUAGCAAACAGUGCACAGGCCGUGACGUGCACUGUGGCUGCUUGGAGAAGCUGUGGGUGCCCCAUCCCUGGCCAGGUUGGAUGGGCCCUGGGCAGCCAGUCCACGGCAGGGAGUUGGAACUUGGUAAUCCUUAAGGUCCCUCCCAAACCAAGGCAUUCUGUGGCUGUGGGAUGGACUCAACAUACUGCUGGAAGGUCGUUUUGGGCUGGGAGUGAGCAGCAGUUGUUGCCUUUUGGCUCUGUUGGGGAGCGCGGACAGCUCUGUCUGGCAUAUAUGUGCGCUGCGGGGCUCGCCAUGGCAUUAUUCUCACUUACAUGCCCGUAAUUAUAUGUAGCAACUUCUUAGAAAUAGUUUGAGGCAAUGUAAUGACUGUAAUUAGGCUGCCACAUGGCACCAAAAAAAAAAAAAAAAAGAAAAAAGAACCUCAAACACAGAGCGCAUUGAGGCAGCGUGAGAGUAAAGUUUAGACAACCUGAGCAUGUCCAUGCACAGAGAUGGCCAAGGACCAGCUCACUGUUUGAAGGAGUUGUGACCCGCAAGUGCAGGGCUGUGGCUGUCCCCUCCUGCUGUCCUCCAUCUCU